rnacentral:rRNA from 1 species
CGCAAUGGGCGAAAGCCUGACGGAGCGACGCCGCGUGAGUGAUGAAGUCCUUCGGGACGUAAAACUCUUUUAUGGGGGAGAAAUUUAGAUGAUAGUACCCCAAGAAUAAGAGGCUCCAAACUCUGUGCCAGCAGGAGCGGUAAUACAGAGGCCUCAAGCGUUAUCCGGAAUCACUGGGCGUAAAGGGUGUGUAGGCGGUCUUGCUAGUCUCUCGUUAAAGCCCGCGGCCUAACUGCGGAAAUGCGGGAGAAACGGCAAAACUAGAGGAUGCGAGGGGUGAAUGGAACUCAUGGAGUAGGGGUGAAAUCCGUUGAUAUCAUGGGGAACACCAAAAGCGAAGGCAAUUCACUGGCGCACUCCUGACACUGAAACACGAAAGCGU